rnacentral:rRNA from 1 species
UACAGAGGGUGCAAGCGUUGUUCGGAAUUAUUGGGCGUAACGGGCGCGUAGGCGGUUCGGCAAGUCUCUAGUGAAAUCUCUGGGCUCAACUCAGAGUCUGCUGGGGAAACUGCCGGGCUUGAGUGUGGGAGAGGAGAGUGGAAUUCCGGGUGUAGCGGUGAAAUGCGUAGAUAUCGGGAAGAACAUCGGUGGCGAAAGCGCUCUACUGGACCGCAACUGACACUCAGGGACGAAAGCUAGGGGAGCGAAUGGG